UCCGUCUAGGCGGGUCUAGGCCCAUGCCUAAUUAGUCCAUACUAAUCUAGAUUAGUUCAUGGUCUAGGUCUACGGAAGACCGAAUGAAAUUUUGAAAAUAAGAGUUUUUAAUCGACGACAUAUUGGCAAGUACCUAUUGGCAAAAUUCGGAUUGUCGCGUAUUUUGCAUUUCAAAGUGUUAAUUUAUUUUGAUGAAUUCGGAAAAUGCACUAAGUAUAAUUAUGUUGGCAAGGUUAGCUGGGUCAGCGUGUAGGCCUCAAUAAAACUAUUAUAAAGAACGACUAAGUACUGUCUGUGUAUCGCCUCACCAUCAAUUGCCUCCACAUCGAAGAGCUCCUCGGAUCGGAUUUGUUUGAUGAUUUUCCGGUGGCCUAGUGGAAUAACCAGAGAUGAGUCAACUGUCACAAACUACUAAGAAGAUACUAUAGUCACUGUGCUUGCGCCAAAGCUGCUGAAAUAAUGGCGUAAUAAUACCAGCUGAUGCUUUUUAGUCCGGGGGCCAGCUGCAUGAAAUCCACCUGGUAAAAGAAAUGAAAUUACCCACUCUGUGAGGGUAGCUGACUUUUAAUAGGUUCAACUGCUCUGGUCGGCCGCGGCUUAACUUGGCAAAUUUUGUGCAAAUGGCAUCAAAAAAAAAACCUCGUCGAAAAAUAGAAUGAAACUUGUAUGGUAGGAUAGCUGCCAUUGAGGAUAGUAAAGAAAAAGUGGUCGGCCAAAUCCUGUGUUGGCCACGUGUUGGCAGCUGCCUGUGUCCGGCCAAAUUUGUGGUAUCGAGUGACAGCUACAAUUUAUCUCAUCGAAAAAUAGAAUGAAGAAAACGGAUUAUAAUAGCUAAAUUAAACCUGUUGUCGUAUGUCGGCCUCACCGUAACCUGGCAGUUUUUGGAGGCGACACGUCGAACGUGAUUCGCGGUAGGUAGGCCCUCUGUUUUCAUAUGAACUAGGUUACUUCAAACAGCGCUAAGACGAGCAAAAAAAUGCACCGUCAACAGACGCCUAGAAUACGAAAUCGGCAACAAUCAACGCAGAAAUCAAAACGGUCAGACACUGAUAAUUUAUUUUUAAUUCAGCUCCCGAAAUUUCGUUGAGAUCUUUUGACCCUCCGCUAUCUUUUAACCUUAAUGUUCGUUCACAAAAAUAUACAUCUUUUUUACAUAUUGCCAAAAUGCCAGACGCAAACAGUAUUUAGAACUUCCGGAACCGAAACUAGAGAUCUACAAUAACGGCCCCUAUUACAGGGCUAUUAAAAUUAACAAAAAAAAAUCCCGCUUAUUUAAAAACAUCACACAACCAAUUUGCAACAAAUCUAAAAAGUAAUGAGCUGGUCGAAAAAUCUAUUAUAGUACUUAUAUCUGAAUUUAUGGACGAGGAUACCUUGUUAUCGUUAAAUAUAAUAUAAGUAUGUAAGAAAACAUAUUCUAGUUAAAUGUUAAAUUGAUUGUUUCUACCUAAUUGUUACCUACUCUUAAUUUAUUUUAAGUCAUGUUAUGCUUGUCACAUGUAUAGAACUUAUAAUUUGAUCUGUUAUUUAUUACUUACAAAUAUUUUUGCGAUACCCCACCAGGGUCCAUGUGCCUAUAUGUUACUAUGUAGUCUACUCGUAUGUAAUAUAAAUAUGUACAUUGGAUGCAAAAUAAAGAUCUCUAUCUCUAUAUCUACUCGUAAGUUUUGGAGGAGGAAAAUGUCAAGAACCGAAACCUCAAUUUCUGAGAUUUUUACGCAGGGUUUUUCGCCUAAGCUGCAGUUGUCCUUAUCGCACUAAUUUUAGGAGCCGCACCCGUCAGCGCGACGGGAUAUUUACCUAAAAUUCUCAAAUCUGAGAAGGGGCUCAGCUGGUAUAUUUCCUCUUAUUUAAUUGAAGGGGUUUUCUGGUCACUGGUCCCUGCCUCUGAAUCCUCUGAUACAGGCGAGCAAGCGUAGCUAGGUAGGUCAAUAGGUACCCCGUUUUCAUGAGUAAAUAUUUGCUUGUACUUAUUUAUAAUAUAAACUACACUGUCGUUGCAUAAAUAUUUAAUCAAUUAUUCGUACAUUUAACAUAUUUAUUAAUGAUAUACAUACACCUACAUGCAGAGAUACGAGUCUACGUACAUAUAUGUAUAAUAUUUAAACAUUGCUACAUUAAUUACAUAUAUAAUCGAAGAAUAUUGGAUUACCAACGAGUUUUCUUUUGAUUCUAUUUCAAAAUUCUUCACUCGUACGGGAGAGCGGGGACAAACGUAACAUUUUGUACUUCGACCUCAGUUUCUGGGUUAUUAUUUUGAUGAAAUUAAUGUAGUCAUAAAUAGUCAUAAAUGUCAUAAUAUACAUCCAGUUAAUUGUCUCAUGUAAAUUUACCUUAUAAUUGUGUAUUUUAGAGUGACUUUAAAAAAAUUGUCUGUUGUUACUUAUUUAGUAAAUAAUUAUACUUGUACCUAAUUCACGAAACAAUAUAUAAAAAAGUUGCAUAGUUUGUUAAAAUUUGCAAGGUGUCUCAGGAACCUCGCAGAGGAGGGGCCAUUUGAUGUCCCACCCGUGACACUUCUAAUACCAUCUAUGUCUAAUAAUAAUAAACAAAACAUUUUACUACUUUUGUCAAUCGUGAAGUAAAAAAUUAUGGAGCGGUGUUUUGACUAUUGGAUAAACCUACAGAGCAAUUUUUACUUUUCUUUCCACCCGCUGUUACGUUUGUCCCCGCUCUACCCUACGCCAGACCGAUUUACAAAUAAAAUUCUACUAUACCAAAAUUAAUGUAGGUACUCAUAUCAAUAGUAAAUACUAAUACUUAUAAGAAAUUCCCAUGUCAUAUGAAAUUGUAUUAGCAUGUAGCUUACCUACAUGCAGCCAGAGGCCUGAAGACUGAUAGUUUCCAUACAACGCCGCGUGCGUUAGGGGUCGUCCAGAAAUCAUGUGAUCGUUUAGGAGGGAGGGGGGGGGGGG